rnacentral:lncRNA from 1 species
AGGUUCGGCCGCCGAACCUCAAGUUCGGCCGCCGAACAUGCAUGCACUUCGGGAGAGCCUUAGGCCCCCGAAGGCAUAAGUGAGGAAAGUCCAGGUUCGGCCGCCGAACUUGCAUGCGUUGCGGAGGCACGUUCGGCUCCCGAAUGUGGCCUGGCCAGCCACCUAUAAAGGGGUCCCUUAGCCGAAAACGGGCGAGUUUUUCUCCCCAUUUUCGGCCAAGGUGAGCUCUCCGCCGUCCCUCACCGAUCUUGAGUUUCUUCCUUCCAUUCUUCAUGAUUUUUAUGAGUUUUCACCUUCGUUUUGAAGAUUUUCGAGUAUAAAGCAAGUUUUGAAGCUUUGAGGUUCAAGAAGCUCAAUCUCUCCCAUCUCCGAGCUAGGGUCAUUCUUGUAACAGCCCGGAAAUCGAAUUGCUACCGGCGCUAGGAUCCAGAUCGACUUAAGGUCACCGGGACCCGUAGUAAGCCUGCUAUCCUGUCUGUGUACCUGUGAAAUCCCAUACAUGAUCAUACAUUGUUGUAAAACAUAAAAACUUUUUGUCAUUCCAAGACUUAACCUGUGCAUGCACUAUCUCUGUUCUAUCACAAUCCCUACUAGAGCUCCUCAUUGCUCUAGGCGGAUAAAACUCAUAAUGUUAAGCCUGGUUUUCUCAUAAUCAGACUAAUAAAAGCAAACAUACAUCAACUGAUCAUGUGACUCUACAAAGGGAUUACACUUCUUAUAAGUCAAGCACCAUUCGAUAUCCUGUACACAUACACUAUCUCUUUACAGUUACAUGUCCACACUAGCUAUUACAAAAGUACUCUUCCUGUACCCUGCUGACCUCCCUCUGAACGCUGAACCUGCACAACUGGAGUUAGGGGAGAGGGAUGAGCUACUAUAGCCCAGUGAGUAGAACAGUAAUAAAGAACAGGUGAUAAAACAUGCUCUCAUGCAACGUAUCACAUCACAAGUAAUCACAUCUCAGCAUGGACGGAUCAACACUCCCUCUAUACCAUAUGCCCGGUCCCCGUAGGGCUGUUCCAGGUCUUUGUGCCUGGUCCCCGUAGGGCUGUUCCAGGUCUUUAUGCUUGGUCCCCGUAGGGCUGUUCCAGGUCUUUCCUCUGAGGGCUAUUGAAUCUUUACUAUGUCCAUACAGUCAUAGACUCAAGGAUAAAUGCAAUGCAUCAUAUUCGUGUACACUAAUGCACUCAUCCUAUAGCAUAUUCAUGAUGCAUGAAGCAUGAUAAAAUACUCGUUUCUCAUAUUAAAAUACUAAGUUCAGUUCUACUCACCUCGGGUUGACUCUGAACUGACUCUGCAGGUUCUGAAACUGGACUCACUGCUGACCUCUCUGAUUCCUCUGGUCCGUACCUACACAAGUGGACUCAAAUGAGGGACCAAACUCACUCAAGAACAUUUCUAAGAAACUCCCCAAAACCCUUCUAAGCCAUCCUAGAACAUUCACAGAAAACAUGCAAAAGAAGGCUGGACAGGGCACUUUCGGCGGCAGGUUCGGCGGCCGAAACCCCUCUCCAGAGACAAAACUCAUGCAUGUUCGGCGGCACCUUCAGCGGCCGAAGGUCUCGUCCAGAGACGAAACUCACAUACUUUCGGCGGCCAAACUCCCUCUUUCGGCGGCCGAAAGUCCCUUUCUAAACCGAAAGCUUAGCUUUCGGGGGCAAGCUUUGGCAGCCGAAACUGCCUCCAAGCAUGUUCGGCGGCCGAACCUGGUUUUGUCCAUUCCAAAACUCUUUUCCUUUAACAAGUUAAAACAUUAAAACAUGUUAAACUACCUUAGAAAACAUAUGUAUUACCCUUCUAGAGGGUUCCGACAUCCGAGAUGCCACCGGACUACAGGAAGUCCGAUGCCGGACUCUAGCCGGGUAUUACAUUCUUCCCCCCUUAAGAACAUUCGUCCCCGAAUGUUCCUAACACAACAUAAAACACAGAGAAAAGGGGAAAACUAACCUCAAAACAGAUAUGGGUACUGUUGGAGCAUAGACUCCCGUGUCUCCCAGGUGCACUCUUCUAGAUUGUGGUGGUUCCAUAGGACUUUCACCAUUGGUAUCUCCUUGUUUCUCAGCUUUCUGAUCUGGGUGUCUAAGAUCCGCACUGGCUGCUCUACAUAGGUGAGAUCACUUAAGAUUUCCACCUCAGGUUCACUAAGAACCUUCUCUGGAUCUGACACAAACUUCCUCAACAUAGAAACAUGGAAUACCGGGUGAAUUCUUUCCAUAGAGGUAGGUAAAUCCAGCUUAUACGACACAUUUCCGAUCCUUUGCAAAAUCUCAAAGGGACCAAUGUACCGUGGGGCCAGUUUACCCUUCUUUCCAAAACGAUCCACUCCCUUCAUUGGAGACACCUUUAACAAUACCAUAUCCCCCUCCUGGAACUCUAUCUGUUUCCUACGGAUGUCUGCAUAGCUUUUAUGUCUGCUAACAGCUGUCUUGAUCCUCUCUCUGAUGAUAGGCACUAACUUGCUGGUAAUCUCAACUAGCUCUGGCCCUGCAAGAGCCUCACCUAAACCUAAACAUGCAUACUACCCAUACUAGCACAUACACAUAUAUAUGCACAAAGGGGUCUCAAACUAUCCUAAACCCCAAACAAACAUAGCACAUAACACUUAAACAUGAAAGAUCACCAAAAACCUCACCUAAACCUAAACAUGCAUACUACCCAUACUAACUUUAUAAAACCUUCAAAAAUCAACAAAGAAGGUUCAGGAUCUGUACUUACCUCUUCUCAACAAGAGAUUACACGAUCCUAACGUGGAGAUAUAGAGAAAUCCGUUCUCAAACUCUCCAAGCUUCAAACUUUGUUCUUUUUGCUUAAAACCUUCAAAAAUCAUCAAAACUCUUAAAACCUUGGAAAGAUUUGAAGGAAAUCAUAAAAACCAUGAAAGUCAACGUGAGAGAGGCUGGAACUCACCUCUGGCUGCAAGUGGAGGAGAAAUAGCCUCCUUCCACCGACCCUUGGCCCUUUUAUAGGUGGCUGGCCAGACCACCUUCGGCAGCCGAACGUGAAUCCGAAACCAUGCAAGGUUCGGCGGCCGAAAGUGACCUUCGGCGGCCGAACAUUAGCAUUUCUCCCUUCUUGCUUUUCAUUCCAAAAAUCUUUUCCUUUAACAAGUUAAAACAUUAAAACAUGUUAACCUACCUUAGAAAACAUAUGUAUUACCCUUCUAGAGGGUUCCGACAUCCGAGAUGCCACCGGACUACAGGAAGUCCGAUGCCGGACUCUAGCCGGGUAUUACAAUUCUCCUCUCGAUCUUCAAGAGGUAAGGGCCGAUUUUGAGCUCAUUUUAUGUUUUAAACAAGUUUUAAGUUGAUCUUUGGGGUAGAAAUGCAUGUUUAGGUUUUUAGUUGGUUUAAGGGUUAUGUUAAGUUUUUGAGCAAUGUAUGAUGCUUGUGGUUGUUUGAUGUGUUGUAGAUGGGGUUUAGGAUAGUUUGAAGCCCCUAGGAGCUGAUGUAUGUAUCUAUGUAUGUUUUGAAUGAGUUGUAUGCUUGAUCUAAAAGGUUGGGAGGCAACUGUGCAUGAGGAACCAAGUUUCUGCCCUUUGGCAGAAACCAGGUUCGGCAGCCGAAGGACUUUCGGCCGCCGAACCUGCUUGGGAGGCAAGCCUUUCGGCUGCCGAAGCCUGCCCCCGAAAGAGGACUUUCGUCUCUGGAGGGUAGUUUCGGCCGCCGAAAGUGCCGCCGAACAUGCAUGAGUUUCGUCUCUGUCUGGGAGUUUCGGCCGCCGAAGGUGCCGCCAAACCUGCCUAACUUUCGGCUCUGGAGGGACUUUCGGCCGCCGAACCUGCCGCCGAAAGUGCCCUGUUUAGCCUUCCUUUGCAUGCUUCCCAUGGAUGUUUUGAGGUGUUUUAAGGGGGUUUUUGGGGGAUGUUUUAGAGUCAUAUUCUAGUAUGUUUGGUCCCUCAUUUGAGUCCACCUUUGUAGGUUCGGACCCGAGGACCCCAGCAGUGACAACUGCUUCAGAGUCUUGUCAGAGUCAGCCAGAGGUGAGUAGAAUAAAUUCUUACGUUUUAAAUAAAUGAAAAACUUUAGCAUGAAUCAUGCAUCAUGAAUGCCAUGUGAUAUCCUAGGUUGCUUGCAUUAGAAUUCACGAAUAUGUUGCAUUGCAUAUCUUGAUGUUGAUGUGGGUGGAUAUUGGAUGACCCAUUGGUCCUCAGUAUGAUGAGACACGAUAUGAUAUGAUAUGGAAGUCCAGGUGUGGCCUGCACUACGCCCCUGGCACUAUGUAAGUGAAAGUCCGGGUGUGGCCUGCACUACGCCCCCGGCACAGUUGGACAUGUAUGUUAUGAGAUAUGUAAGAGAAAGACCAGGUGUGGCCUGCACUACGCCCCUGGCAUAGUUGGAUUAUGUAGAGGACCCUUGGUGACAAGUCCAUCCUUGAUGUGAUAUGGUUGUGAUGUGAUGCAUUACAUGAUAGCAUGUGUUUUAAUUGUUAUUAUUAUUCUGCUCACUGGGCUCUUGUAGCUCACCCCUUUCCCCUUAUCCCCCAGGUUUGCAGGUACAGGGUAGACCAGGAGGUCAGCAGGAGUAUAGUCUGUUUUUAUGUAAUAGUUAGAAGUUGUGGACAUGAUGAAAUUGAAAUGUAAUGUUUUAUGUAGUCAUGAUAUGUAAAAUGAUAUUGAGGAUUAGAGGUUGUGCUUGACCCUAUGUGUAUGGUAUUCCCUUUUUAUGCAUGAUCACUAUUAUUAACGAUGAGAUGAGUAAUCAAGCUUAAUGUAUGUUAUUGAUACCCCAUUGGAGCAUGUGAUGAGGGCUCUAGUGUGAGGUUUAUGGUUAUGUUAGUGUGCAUGCACAGGUUAAGCUUGAUUUAUGAAAUAAAAAGUUUACAUGUUUAUGUAUUUGUAUGAUCAUGUAUGGGAAUACACAGGUUUACAGGUUGUAUGUCAGGCUUGCUACAGGUCCCGACGGCCUUAAGCCGAUCUGGAUCCUAGCGCCGGUAGCGGUCCGAUUUUCGGGUCGUUACAGAAUGGUAUCAGAGCCCUAGGUUCAUAUGGUCAGACUUAGAGUGUCGGGCUCAUAGAGGUUAUAGAAGGUCAAGCACAAUAGGAAAGGUCAUGUCCACUAGGAUAGGAUGUGGAGUCCUGUCUUGUAUGAUGAUGUGAAAUGCCAUGAUUAUAUACAUGUGCAUUAAUGCUAUGAUAUGAAUAAUAUGUGUGUGAUGCGGGUUCAUGUGUGUCCACAUGAACCAUAUGAUGCUAACGUUUAUGUGAUGUGUACUGUUUUUCAGAAAACAGGAUGAGGGAAACUCGUCGAUCUGCACGAUUGGUUGGAGUGCCACCUGAGGAUGAGGGCAUGAGCGCCCGUCCUCUUGCAUUGCCUAGAGCAAUGUCUAGUAGGGCUAGCAGAGAAAGAGCAGCAAGAGACCCUAGAAGGUCUCUGGAUCUGGGUAGAAGCAGAUCAGUGAGGGGAACAGUUUAGGGAGGAAUAUCAGAGGACAUGGGGGAUGAUAUGGAUGUAGAGCAGAGGAGAGAUGGCAGUCUGGGAGUAAGCAUGUCAGAAAAGGGAAUGGGAGAGUCCCAAGGAGGCACUCAGGCCUCAGGAUUUGCUCAGCCACCCCACUACCCACACUUCUCACAAAAUCCCGGGUAUUCGAUGGGAGGUACGUCGGAUUACCCUAGCUUUACCCCUUAUCCCAUACACAUGCCAUACCCUCCCUACUACCCACCAUACCCACAGCACCCAAUGUAUCCACCCCCACCCUACUAUCCAAAUCCAGCUAACCCUACCUCAGAAAAUGUUGCACCUCCUCCACCAUCAGCAGAACCCACAGUUCCAGCAACCCAUAUGCCUAAGCCUAGCUCAUCUGGUGGGAGCAAGGUCAAGAUGACCGACUACAUGAAGCUGGGUGCUCCCCAGUUUGAAACCGGUGAUGACCCGUUUGUGUACCUUGAAAGGGUCAAAACAAUUACAGAUGAGAUAGGAGCUGAUGACAGCAGAGCCAUUCAGAUGGUUGGGUUCACACUCAAAUGCAAAAAGGCCCGUGAGUGGUUUAAGAACUAUGUGAGCCCAAGGUUGGACAGCCUAUCAUGGGAGGAGUUUGCAAAUGAAUUUGCAGGAUGGGCUUUUCCUGACAGUUCAAGAGAAUUGAAGAUGAUUGAGUUUGAACAGUUAAGGCAGACAGAGGAAAUGAGUGUAGACAAGUACACCGACAGAUUCUUGGAGCUGUUGCCGUUUGCAGGGCAAACUCUUGACACCGAUCAGAAGAAGUCAAGGAGGUAUAUCAUGAAACUUCACUCCAGGUAUUCCUCCUUGAUUCAGUCCGCAGAUAGGGAGAGCUUCCAUGCCAUAGUGGAUAUGGCUAGGAGGAUGGAGGCUAGUGCUAUCAUCGAGGGGAAAGUCAAGCAGUCAGUGGCACAGCCUUCUGGUUCUAAGACCCCAGGCUCUUCUUCUCUGAGUGUAGCAGCUUCAGGAAGUAAAAAGUGGGACAGAAGCUCUAGGAAGUCUAAGAAGAACAAGUUAUGGAAUAAGGUUAAGUCCAGUCUGGGAUUUGGUGGUGGCUCAAGCUCUGGUGCGGAUAAUGCAGUUUGUACAAGGUGUGGUAAGCCACACAAGGGAGUAUGUCGGUUUGGGACGACAGCCUGUUUUAGAUGCGGUCAUGAGGGACAUAUGGCUCGAGAGUGUCCAAGAGCAGUUCCGAUGGCUCAGUCCCAGCAGACAGCUUCUGGUAGUAUAGCACAGCCAGCAGCUCCAGCCACGACUCAGGCUAGUGGCAGAGGUAGAGGGAGAGGGGCAGCCUCUUCUUCAGCUGGUUUCAGAGGUGAAGGUCCAUCAGCUCCAGCACGGAUCUUCACAAUGACACAACAGGAGGCAGAUGCAUCUAACACCGUGGUGGCAGGUAACUUAGUCAUUGGUUGUUCAGAUGUGUAUGCCUUGAUGGACCCUGGUGCAUCUCAUUCUUUUAUUGCACCGAGAGCCGUUGAGAGGUUGGGGUUGAUGAUCUCUGGGUUAGAGUGUCCUCUCUGGGUCAGUGGACCCAAGUGUGAUCCAUCAGUGGCAGAGUCAGUCUGCCAGUGUAGUCCUGUGUUUGUUGAGGGAAGAUGCUUGUCCGCCGACCUUAUGGUUCUAGACUUGAUAGAUUUUGACGUCAUUCUAGGGAUGGACUGGUUAUCUACCCAUGGUGCUACCUUGGACUGCAGGGACAAGGUAGUCAGGUUCAGAGGUCAGGAUGGGUCAGAGGUAGUCUUCAGAGGAGACAUGAGGGGUACACCUAGAGGUCUGGUAUCAGCUCUUCAGGCUCGUAGGUUGCUUAGGAGGGGAUGUCAGGGGUAUUUGGCUCAUGUGAGGGAGCUUAGCAGUCAGGUUAGAGAGCCCGCCUCGGUGCCAGUGGUCAGAGAGUUUUCAGAUGUCUUCCCAGACGAGCUGCUAGGUUUACCACCUGCUAGGGAGAUAGAGUUCGAGAUAGAAUUGAUGCCUGAAACCCGACCGAUCUCUAUCCUCCCUACAGGAUGGCACCAGCAGAAUUGAAAGAGUUGAAAGAGCAGUUACAAGAACUGGUAGACAAGGGCUUCAUCCGACCGAGUACCUCACCCUGGGGUGCUCCAGUUUUGUUUGUGAGAAAGAAGGAUGGAUCCCUUAGACUUUGUAUCGACUACAGGCAGUUGAACAAAGUCACUACCAAGAAUAGAUACCCUUUGCCAAGGAUCGAUGAUCUAUUCGACCAGCUAGCAGGAGCGGGUUGUUUCUCCAAAAUAGAUCUGAGAUCUGGGUACCAUCAGCUGAGGAUAAGAGAGGAAGAUGUGCCAAAGAUGACUUUCAGAACCAGAUAUGGGCAUUUUGAGUUCCUUGUAAUGCCGUUCGGGUUAACCAACGCUCCUGCAGCAUUCAUGGAUCUCAUGAACAGAGUGUUUAGCCAGUACCUGGAUCACUUUGUUAUUGUCUUCAUAGAUGAUAUCUUAGUGUAUUCCAGGAAUGCAGAGGAGCAUGUCCAUCAUCUGAGGUUGGUUCUGCAGACCUUGAGGGAACACGGCUUGUAUGCCAAGUUCUCCAAGUGUGAGUUUUGGAGCAUUUCACUCUUGGGGCAUGUUGUGUCAGAAAAUGGGAUAGAGGUGGAUCCCAAGAAGAUAGAAGUUGUGGCUAACUGGCCUAGACCCACUUCAGUGUCAGAGAUCAGAAGUUUCUUGGGUUUGGCGGGUUACUACAGGAGGUUCGUUCAGGACUUCUCAAAAAUUGCAGCUCCUCUGACCAGACUAACCAGGAAAAAUCAGAAGUUUGUGUGGGCCGACCAGUGCGAAGAGAGUUUUGAAGAGCUUAAGAAGAGGUUAACGUCGGCACCAGUGUUAGCUUUGCCAACUAGCAAUGAGGACUUCACAGUGUGAUGCAUCCCGAGUGGGUUUGGGUUGUGUGUUAAUGCAGAAUGAAAGGGUGAUUGCUUAUGCUUCUAGACAGCUGAAGAAGCAUGAGUUGAAUUACCCCACACAUGACCUGGAGAUGGCAGCAGUAAUCUUUGCACUCAAGAUGUGGAGGCACUACCUCUAUGGGGUUAAAUGUGAGAUCUUUACAGAUCAUAAGAGCCUGCAGUACAUCCUGAGUCAAAGAGAUUUGAACUUGAGAUAGAGAAGAUGGGUAAAGCUGCUGAGUGACUAUGAUUGCAAGAUUCAGUACCAUCCGGGUAAGGCGAAUGUUGUGGCAGACGCCCUAAGCCGGAAGUCACUAGGCAGUCUAUCCCACAUAUCGGCAGAGAGGAGACCAGUAGUGAAGGAGUUUUACAAGCUCGUUGAUGAAGGUCUUCAGUUGGAGUUGUCUGGUACAGGUGCUUUAGUUGCCCAGAUAAGAGUGGCACCCGUGUUUCUGAAGCAGGUGGCUCAGAAACAGCAUGAGGACCCAGAGUUAGUGAAGAUUGCCAGGACUGUUCAGUCAGGCAAGGAUAGUGAGUUCAGAUUCGACAACAAGGGGAUCCUCCGCUAUGGGAGUCGAUUGUGUGUACCAGAUGACAUAGGGCUAAAGGGAGACAUUAUGAGAGAGGCUCAUAAUGCAAGAUACAGCGUUCACCCCGGAGCCACCAAAAUGUAUCAAGAUCUGAAGAAAGUUUAUUGGUGGCCAACUAUGAAGAGAGAAGUGGCACAGUUUGUGUCAGCCUGCGAAUUGUGUCAGAGGGUGAAGCUGGAACAUCAGAAGCCGGCUGGAAUGCUUAACCCGCUACCUAUUCCAGAGUGGAAAUGGGAAAAUAUAGCUAUGGACUUCGUAGUGGGGUUACCGGCGACGUCCAACAGAUUGGACUCCAUAUGGGUGAUUGUGGACAGACUCACCAAAUCUGCUCACUUCAUCCCUGUCAGGAGUGGCUAUUCUGUGGACAAGUUAGCGCAGGUGUAUGUCGAUGAGAUCGUCAGGCUGCAUGUGGUUCCUGUUUCAAUAGUGUCCGAUAGAGGACCCCAAUUCACCUCCAGAUUUUGGUGGAGUCUGCAGAAUGCCAUGGGUACCAGGUUGGAUUUUAGCACUGCUUUCCAUCCGCAGACGGACGGACAAUCAGAAAGGACCAUCCAGACCAUAGAGGAUAUGCUCAGAAUGUGUGUGCUGGACUUUGGCGGUUCUUGGAGGCAGCAUCUACCUUUGCCUACAAUAACAGUCAUCAUGCUAGCAUCGGGAUGGCUCCAUAUGAAGCUUUAUAUGGAGGAAGUGCAGAUCACCUGUUUGCUGGGAAGAGGUUGGAGAAAAGGCCUUGGCAGGGCCUGAGCUAGUAGAGAUCACUAGCAGGGUGGUACCCAUAAUCAGAGAAAGGAUCAAGACUGCUGCAAGCAUACAUAAGAGUUAUGCAGAUAUCCGCAGAAGACAAGUAGAGUUUCAGGAGGGGGAUAUGGUAUUGCUCAAGGUGUCUCCUAUGAAAGGAGUGGUUCGCUUUGGGAAGAAAGGUAAACUAGCCCCACGAUACAUCGAACCCUUUGAAAUCUUGCAAAAGAUUGGGAAUGUGUCGUACAAGCUGGAUUUACCUGCUUCAAUGGAAAGAAUCCAUCCGGUUUUCCAUGUUUCAAUGUUGAGAAAGUUUGUGUCAGAUCCGGGUAAGGUUCUUAGUGAGCCUGAUGUGGAGAUCCAAGAGGAUCUCACCUAUAUUGAACAGCCAGUACGGAUCAUAGACACCCAGAUCAAAAAGCUAAGGAACAAGGAAAUCCCGAUGGUGAAAGUCCUUUGGAACCACCACAAUAUGGAAGAAUGCACCUGGGAGACACGGGAGUCUAUGCUCCAGCAGUACCCUCAUCUCUUUUAAGGUUAGAUCUCUAUGUGUUUAUGUGCUAUGUAUGUAUGUUAUAUUGAUUGCUGUGCUUGUGCUAGUUGGGGAACAUUCGGGGACGAAUGUUCUUAAGGGGGAGAGAAUGUAAUACCCGGCUAGACUCCGGUAUCAGAAUUCCUACCGUCCGGUGGAAUCUCGGAUGUCGGAAGCCUCUAGUAGGGUAGAAACAUGUUUUCAUAAAAUGUUUUAAUGUAUUUUAUGGUUUUAAUCAAGUAAGAAAUGAGUUUUUUUGCAUGAAAAUAAUCUUGGAGGAAGACCCAGGUUCGGCCGCCGAACCUCAAGUUCGGCCGCCGAACAUGCAUGCACUUCGGGAGAGCCUUAGGCCCCCAAAGGCAUAAGUGAGGGAAGUCCAGGUUCGGCCGCCGAACCUCAUGUUCGGCUGCCGAACUUGCAUGCGUUGCGGAGGCACGUUCAGCUCCCGAAUGUGGCCUGGCCAGCCACCUAUAAAGGGGUCCCUUAGCCAAAAACGGGCGAGUUUUUCUCCCCAUUUUCGGCCAAGGUGAGCUCUCCGCCGUCCCUCACCGAUCUUGAGUUUCUUCCUUCCAUUCUUCAUGAUUUUUAUGAGUUUUCACCUUCGUUUUGAAGAUUUUCGAGUAUAAAGCAAGUUUUGAAGCUUUGAGGUUCAUGAAGCUCAAUCUCUCCCAUCUCCGAGCUAGGGUCGUUCUCCUCUCGAUCUUCAAGAGGUAAGGGCCGAUCUUGAGCUCAUUUUAUGUUUUAAACAAGUUUUAAGUUGAUCUUUGGGGUAGAAAUGCAUGUUUAGAUUUUUAGUUGGUUUAAGGGUUAUGUUAAGUUUUUGAGCAAUGUAUGAUGCUUGUGGUCGUUUGAUGUGUUGUAGAUGGGGUUUAGGAUAGUUUGAAGCCCCUAGGAGCUGAUGUAUGUAUCUAUGUAUGUUUUGAGUGAGUUGUAUGCUUGAUCUAAAAGGUUGGGAGACAACUGUGCAUGAGGA